rnacentral:rRNA from 1 species
AUUGAACGCUGGCGGUAGGCCUAACACAUGCAAGUCGAGCGGCAGAACAGUAAUUGCUCGCGCAUUCGGCUGCCGAGGGGCGAGUAAUGGCUAGAAAUCUCCGUGUUUGCGUGUGCUUACGUCAGGAAAUAGGCGCUAUUACCCCAAUAGCGCUGACGGCGUAAGUGGGAGAGCAUCGGACCUCACGCUAUCAGACGAUUCUAGGUCGGAUUAGCUAGUUGGUGGGGUAAAGGCCUACCAAGGCGACGAUCCGUAACUGGUCUGAGAGGAUGAUCAGUCACACUGGAACUGAGACACGGUCCAGACUCCUACGGGAGGCAGCAGUGGGGAAUAUUGGACAAUGGGCGAAAGCCUGAUCCAGCCAUGCCGCGUGUGUGAAGAAGGUCUUCGGAUUGUAAAGCACUUUAAGUUGGGAGGAAGGGCAGUAAGUUAAUACCUUGCUGUUUUGACGUUACCAACAGAAUAAGCACCGGCUAACUUCGUG